GUAAUCCGACAACAUACAUUCGAGUGUGAGCAUAUCACCUUAAAGGAAGUAAACUUACAUGCCUCAAGACCAUAAUUUACUUAAUCUCUAUUCAUAUUUCCCAACAGGUUGACCUUGAGAUUUGUCAUUAUGCUUGUGAACAUGGACCUAUUUGGUUUCAUUAACACUUUUCGAGAGUAUCGCUUGGCUUUUUAUUAUUGCCUACAGGCAUUGAUUAGACUGUUGAGUCUGAAUUGUUGGAGCAAAUGUAUGUGACUAUAGCUUGAGAUGGUGCUUUGCUUCUAGAUAGGGCUCAC
rnacentral:lncRNA from 1 species